rnacentral:ribozyme from 1 species
UGCCAAGAAACUCCUAUCCCUACCACCUCAUGGUACUGGCCGGGGAGCAACCUUAGGGAAGA